UUUGCCUACGGGACGCAGCAGUAGGGAAUCUUCGGCAAUGGGCGAAAGCCUGACCGAGCAACGCCGCGUGAAUGAAGAAGGCCUUCGGGUUGUAAAAUUCUGUUAUAAGGGAAGAAAGGUGAUAGGAGGAAAUGACUAUCAAUUGACGGUACCUUCAAAGGAAGCACCGGCUAACUCCGUGCCAGCAGCCGCGGUAAUACGGAGGGUGCGAGCGUUAAUCUGAAUUACUGGGCGUAAAGCGCACGUAGGCUGUAUGACAAGUCAAGGGUGAAAUGCCACGGCUCAACCGUGGAACUGCCUUUGAA
rnacentral:rRNA from 1 species